GAAAUCCAUUGAGAUUAAAUAAAGACCUCAUAUCUUUCUCUUUGACAGGUUGGCAUGGAGCAUGUGGAGGAACAGGGAAACACACCUUAGUAAUGACAAGUGCAUCGUAAUAAAUUAGAUACAGACUUACACUUUUUUAGGUUGAAUUAUAUUAACUUUAUAAAACAUUUAAAAUCAUAUACUUUCAUUUGUACAUACUAGAUGAUGGUCUGGAAUCUCUUUAAGUCAGAUAAAUGUCUUGUUUGCGGCAGGUGUUUCUUUUUCCUGUAAUGGACACACAACAGACAGAAGAAGGAGACUCACAAGAGCAUCGGUGGAGAUUUGUCUGAAAACCGCUGGUUAACAGUUUGUGCAUUUCUGGAGUUCAGCAAGCAUGUAGAGCUCUGUUAGUUGUGUCUUUAUCUUUUCCAGGCUGGAGUGCAGCAUGUGGAGACAAAUAGGAAUCACACACCUCAGCAAUGGACACUGAUGGUCAGGAAUAUCCUUUAAAGGCAGAUGAAUGGGUGCAUGGAUGGAUGUUCUUCCAAGUGGAAGGGGGUGGUGGUGGGCAUAGAUUGUUAGAUAUAUGUCUUGUCUGUGGCUGUUAUUUACAACUACAACAGGCAGAAGAGUCAGACUCACGAGCAAAAUGGUGAAUAUUUAUCUGAGGAACACUGGAGAACGUUUGGUUUAUUGAUGCAGAUCAUCCAGCAAGUAGAGCUUUGUUAGUCUUGUUUUUGUCUUUUGCAGAUUAGACUGGGGCCUGUGGAGAAAUGGGACUCGCACCUCAGCAUGACUGGAAACUGAUGGUCUGGGCUGCGUUUCCCAAACAACGAAUUGAGGGGGGCUCGUGGCCCAGUAGAGCUUUACCCCUGAGACUAACAAGGGGAACAGUGGAGAUAAACUGGAAGACCUGGAGCUCGGCAAAGAGAUUUGUACGAAGCAUGUGGAAGAACAGGGAAACACACCUCAGUAAUCACAAGUGCAUCAUAAUAAAUUAGGUACAGCCUUACAUUUUUAAGUUGAAUCAAAUUAACUUCAUCAAACAUUUUAAUUUAAAUAUUUAUAUUUUUACAGAGUGAUAGUCGGGUAUUUUCUUUGGACGGACG
rnacentral:lncRNA from 1 species